AGAGUUUGAUCCUGGCUCAGAGCGAACGUUGGCGGCGCGCCUAACACAUGCAAGUCGAGCGCGAAAGGACUUCGGUCCGAGUAGAGCGGCGCACGGGUGAGUAACACGUGAGUAAUCUGCCCCCGAGCCUGGAAUAACAUUCCGAAAGGAGUGCUAAUGCCGGAUGAGACCACGUCGGCUUCGGCCGAUGCGAGAAAAGGCGGGGUUCGAAAGGACCUGUCACUUGGGGAUGAGCUCGCGGCCUAUCAGCUAGUUGGCGGGGUAAUGGCCCACCAAGGCGAAGACGGGUAGCUGGUUUGAGAGGAUGAUCAGCCACACUGGAACUGAGACACGGUCCAGACUUCUACGGAAGGGCAGCAGUGGGGGAAUUUUUGCCGCAAUGGGGCGAAAGCCUGACCGCAGCGACCCCCCCGUGUGCGAUGAAGGCCCCUUUGGGGUCGUAAAAGCAACUGGUCCGGUCGGGGAACGAAAAAACCCAACCGGUUCUUAAUACCAUCCGUUGGGCUUUGACGGGUACCCGGGCAAAGGGAAGCACCGGGCUUAACUCUUGUGGCCCGCCGGCCGCCGGUAAUUACAAGAGGGGUGGCACACCCUUUGCUCCGGAAUUUAUUGGGGCCGUAAAGCGCGAUGUGUGGCGGGCACGGAUAUAGUCCACUGUGGAAAAGCCCUCUGUGCUUCACACCAAAGAAAGUGCAAGUGGGAACAUGUCGCAGCUCCGAAUUCUCGUAAAAGAGUCGCGGGAAUAGUGCCACUGUAUAAGUGAAAAUCGUCAGAAUAAUUGGCUAGAACACCACUGGCGAAGACGGCGACAUUGGUGAGAUACUGACGCUAGAAGAUGAGAAAAGCGUGGGGAACCAACCAGGAAUUGAUCUCUGUGGUAGUCCCACCGCCAUUAAACGGAGAACCCAUUAGUUGUCGCGGGAUAUUGCCCCCCGCCAGUGACGCCCCCCAACCCUUUAAGUUUUCCCCCGGGGGAUUACGGCCCGCAAGCUUAAAACUUAAAAGGAUUUGAGGGGGCCCCCCACAGCGGGGGGGAUUAUGGGGUUUUAUUUGGACGACACCGCGCAAAACCUUACCCCGGUUUUGAACAUGGAAGGAAUCCUUUGGGGACAAGAGGAUUCCCCCCCCAGGGGGACCGAAAGACAGGUGCUGCCUUGGCGUUGUCAACCUGGGUUCUGAAGAUUUGGGUUAAAGUCCCCCACCGAGCCCCAACCCCUGUUUUUAGUUGCCAUCAGGGGGAAGCUGGGCCCUUUUGAGGAGACUGCCGUUGUCCAAGACGAAGGAAGGCGGGGAUGACGUCAAGUCCUUCAUGGCCCUUUAUGACCGGGGCUACACACGUACUACAAUGGGCGGUACAGAGGGUCGCAAGCUCGUGAGAGCAAGCCAAUCUCAGAAAACCGUCCUCAGUUCAGAUUGAAGUCUGCAACUCGACUUCAUGAAGGUGGAAUCGCUAGUAAUCGCGAAUCAGCAAGUCGCGGUGAAUACGUUCCCGGGCCUUGUACACACCGCCCGUCACACCAUGGGAGUGGAUUGCACCAGAAGUGGGUGUGCUAACCGCAAGGAGGCAGCCCCCUAAGGUGUGGUUCAUGACUGGGGUGAAGUCGUAACAAGGUAACC
rnacentral:rRNA from 1 species